rnacentral:lncRNA from 1 species
AGGCCCAGGCCUGAGCCUCACAUGUGGCCCCGGGGAAGGCAUCAGGGACUCCCUUUGCCCUCCCACUGACCUCCCUGCAAACCUCCCCCAAACCAAGGGGCAUCCUCAGCUGGCCAGACCCUGGGGGAAGGGAGAGAGCCGAGGAUCACCGGCACCUGUGGCUGGGUUACCCCUGCCAUGGACCACUGGGUGAUCAAGAAGUCAUUCCAAAAUGUGAAGCGUUCUGAAGAUAUGCACAUAGCGUAAGAACCUGGUGUAAUGUGCUGGUCAAGGCGGUCUCAGAGAGGAGAUGACGUUUGAGCUGACACCUGAGGGAUGAGAAGAAAGCAGCCAUUCCCAGGGCCCAGGGGAGGCAUCCCAGGAAGCCGGAUCAGCAUGAGCAAAAGCCCUGAGGCCUGGCACAAGUUGGUCUGCUUGAGAAGCAGGAGAGAGCCCUGAGCAUCCGGAGUGCAGCAAGCGAGAUGAGCAAGUCAAGAUGCAGAAGGACUCUCUGGCUUGUCCAAGGUCACACGGCUGUUAGGAGCAGAGCAGCGUCCUGGUGCCCAAGCCCUGAGGUCCCCAGCACACUGCCUCUGCAAUGGCCACAACUGUCCAAAGACUAAGCUGACUCUCACACCUGGUAGUGUCUGUGGUCAUUCACUGUGGAUGGAAGUGGAGAAAUGCAGAAAACAGAAACACAGCUUCCCCUUUUCUGUCAUAUUUCUGUAUCGUUGGUGUUUGGAGCCAGUUGAGCACAAAGGGCCCCUGAGUGCUGUUUCCUUGUGAUAUUUGGGGGUUAACAGCUUCCCCUCAUCUCUUAAUUACCUGCCCUCCUUCACUUCAGCUGCACAUUCGUUAAAGAAUGCUCUCCCAGGAGAAGAGCUUGGUGUUAUCACCCACAAACAUCUUAGAAAACUAAUGCUAUCCUUGAGUGCCUGUUUACAGAAACAUUUUUACAUCUCACUUGACAUUUCCAGCAAAUCUUGAUCCUUCCAGCCAGGAAUAUUAAUAUAUAGGUCUUGAAAAGUGCAAGAGGCUCUUCCAUGGCUCCAAGCACAUUUGACACUCUUCCUUUUCUGAUCCCCAAGCAGACAGUGAUGAAACCCCAAUAGCUGGGCGAAUACUCAUCCAACAGGAAGAAUCAGUUUUAAGAGCUGGGUUCUCAGGGUCAAAUACUGUGGUGUGGCCUUUUGGUUGUAAUGAGUUGAAUGGAGGUCUCAAAAAAGAUAUAUCCAUGUUCUAAUCCCCAGAACUUGUGAAUGUGACCUUAUUUGGAAAAAGAGUCCUUUUGGAUGUAAUUAAGUUAAGGAUUUUGAGAUAAGGAGAUCAUCCUGGGUUAUCUGGGUGGACCCUAAAUCUGUUGACAAUGUCCUUAUGAGAGACCCCAGAGGGCACAGACAGGAAAGGAAGAGGCAAUGUGGCCCCAGAGGCUGAGAUCAGAGCUCUGUGGCCACAAUUCGAGGAACACCUGGAGCCACCAGAAGCUGGAGGAGGCAAGGAACAGAUUCUCCCUGAUCCUCUGGAUACAGAGGGAGAAUAGCCUGGCCGACACCUUGAUUUUGGACUUCUGGCCCCCAGAACUGAGAAAAUUAACUUCUGUUGUGUUAAGCAGCCACGUUUGUAGCAGUUCAUCAUAGCAGCCCUGGGAAAGAAAUACAGUGGGCUUCCAGUUCAAGGAGGAUCCACGAGGCCUGAGCUCCAUCUGUCGAUUGGAAUCACCAAAAUCAAGGUUGUGUGCGGGUAACGCCAGCACAAGCAGCUCAUGCUGGCAAAAGCAGACCAAACCGGCUCACGCAACGUCAAGUCAUCUUGAAGUGGUUCACGCACCACAGUGAGUGGUAUUGAUUGUGGUUAAGAGCCAGGUUCAAGGAGGUUUAUCACUCAGUAGCCAGGUAAAGCAGGUUCCAGGCCUGGCUCCACCACUCAACAACCGGGGAAACAGGGGAGCAGACCUGCAGAGGGGCCAGAAGACACCUGGCCGGGUGGGGAGCAGCCCCUCCGUAAUAACAAUCGGAACCUGGGAAGGCGGCAAAACUGAAUCCCAGAGAGAAGACUCACUCAGACACAGCUAUCUGAACACUCUUUUCCAGUUCCCCUAGGGCAGCAGAGGAAGCAAGGUGGGGGGAAGCCAGUGGUCAAGGAUUCCAUGCGGAAUGUACCCUAGAAUUAACCCAUGGAGAGAGGGGGUCUCGCUCUGUUGCCCAGGCUGUAGUACAAUGGUGCAAUCUCGGCUCACUGCAACCUCUGCCUCUGGGUUCAAGCGAUCCUUUGCCUCCGCCUCCUGAGUAGCUGGAAUUACAGGCAUGCACCAUGAUGCUUGGUUAAUUUUUGUAUUUUUAGUAGAGUCAGGGUUUUGCUAUGUUGGCCAGGCUGGGCUCCAACUUCUGGUCUCAAGUGAUCCACCCGCCUCGGGCUCCCAAAGUGCCAGGAUUACAGGCGUGAGCCACUAUGCCUGGCCAAAAGUGGCGAUGUGUUCUUAAUGCCCAUUUUCACAUAAAAGAGAUGGGGUUUGCCAUGUUGCCUAGGCUGGUCUCGAAUUCUGGGAUUAAGCGAUCCUCCUGCCUUGGCUGGGAUUACAGGCAUGGACCACUGCAUCUGGCCAACUCUACUCUCUACUUGAUUUUGCUGUGAACCUA